GACGAACGCUGGCGGCGUGCUUAACACAUGCAAGUCGAACGGUGAAGCACCUUCCUUUUGGUGGGUGUGGAUGCGUGGCGCAGGGGUGAGUCACACGUGAGUAACCUGCCCCCUUCUUCUGGAUAACCGCAUGAAAGUGUGGCUAAUACGGGAUAUUCUGGGUCUGUCGCAUGGCGGGGCUGGGGAAGGUAUUGUUUCGGCGUGGAGAGGGCUCGGGGCCUGUCAGCUUGUUGGUGGGGGGAUGGCCUACCCAGGCGGGGGAGGGGGGCCGGCCUGGGGGGGUGGCCGGUCACGCUGGGACUCAGACACGGCCCACACUCCGGCGGGAGGCAGCGGUGGGGAUUAGUGAACAAUGGGCGCAAGCCUGAGGCAGCGACGCCGCGUGAGGGAUGGCGGCCGUCGGGUUGUAAACCUCUUUCGCCAGUGAAGAAUGCCUGUCCCUUUUGUGGGUGGGUUGACGUUAGCUGGAUAAGAAGCGCCGGCUAACUCCGU
rnacentral:rRNA from 1 species